rnacentral:rRNA from 1 species
GAUGAAACGCUAGCGGCAGGCCUAACACAUGCAAGUCGAGGGGUAGAGGAAGCUUGCUUCCUUGAGACCGGCGCACGGGUGCGUAACGCGUAUGCAAUCUACCUUGUACAGAGGGAUAGCCCAGAGAAAUUUGGAUUAAUACCUCAUAGUAUUAUUGAAUGGCAUCAUUUAAUAAUUAAAGUUCCAACGGUACAAGAUGAGCAUGCGUCCUAUUAGCUAGUUGGUGUGGUAACGGCAUACCAAGGCUACGAUAGGUAGGGGUCCUGAGAGGGAGAUCCCCCACACUGGUACUGAGACACGGACCAGACUCCUACGGGAGGCAGCAGUGAGGAAUAUUGGACAAUGGGCGCAAGCCUGAUCCAGCCAUGCCGCGUGCAGGAAGACGCAUCUAUGGUGUGUAAACUGCUUUUGUACGGGAAGAAACACUCCCUCGUGAGGGAGCUUGACGGUACCGUAAGAAUAAGGAUCGGCUAACUCCGUGCCAGCAGCCGCGGUAAUACGGAGGAUCCAAGCGUUAUCCGGAAUCAUUGGGUUUAAAGGGUCCGUAGGCGGUUUAAUAAGUCAGUGGUGAAAGCCCAUCGCUCAACGAUGGAACCGGCCAUUGAUACUGUUAGACUUGAAUUACAAGGA